UACGUGAGCUGGGUUCAGAACGUCGUGAGACAGUUCGGUCCCUAUCCAUCGCGGGCGCAAGAAACUUGAAGGGGGCUGCUCCUAGUACGAGAGGACCGGAGUGGACGCACCACUGGUGUUCCGGUUGUGUCGCCAGACGCAUUGCCGGGUAGCUAAGUGCGGAAGAGAUAAGUGCUGAAAGCAUCUAAGCACGAAACUUGCCAAGAGAUGAGUUCUCCCUGUUUUUAAGACAGUAAGGGUUGUUUAAGACUAAGACGUAGAUAGGUCUGGUGUGUAAGCGGUGCGAGCCGUUGAGCUAACAGAUACUAAUUGCCCGAGAGGCUUAACUAUACAACGCUCAAGGGUUUUG
rnacentral:rRNA from 1 species